UACGUAGGGGCCGAGCGUUGUCCGGAGUUAUUGGGCGUAAAGCGCGCGCAGGCGGCCUCGCGCGCCCGACGUGAAAGCCCCCGGCUUAACCGGGGAGGGUCGUUGGGGACGGCGGGGCUUGAGGGCGGGAGAGGUCGGUGGAAUUCCCGGUGUAGCGGUGAAAUGCGUAGAGAUCGGGAAGAACACCAGUGGCGAAAGCGCUCUGCUGGACUGCAACUGACACUGAGGGACGAAAGCUAGGGGAGCGAAAGGG
rnacentral:rRNA from 1 species